GAUGAACGCUGGCGGCGUGCCUAAUACAUGCAAGUCGAGCGAACAGAUGAGGAGCUUGCUCCUCUGACGUUAGCGGCGGACGGGUGAGUAACACGUGGAUAACCUACCUAUAAGACUGGGAUAACUUCGGGAAACCGGAGCUAAUACCGGAUAAUAUAUUGAACCGCAUGGUUCAAUAGUGAAAGACGGUUUUGCUGUCACUUAUAGAUGGAUCCGCGCCGCAUUAGCUAGUUGGUAAGGUAACGGCUUACCAAGGCAACGAUGCGUAGCCGACCUGAUAGGGUGAUCGGCCACACUGGAACUGAGACACGGUCCAGACUCCUACGGGAGGCAGCAGUAGGGAAUCUUCCGCAAUGGGCGAAAGCCUGACGGAGCAACGCCGCGUGAGUGAUGAAGGUCUUCGGAUCGUAAAACUCUGUUAUUAGGGAAGAACAAAUGUGUAAGUAACUACGCACGUCUUGACGGUACCUAAUCAGAAAGCCACGGCUAACUACGUG
rnacentral:rRNA from 1 species